AGUCGUAACAAGGUCUCCGUUGGUGAACCAGCGGAGGGAUCAUUACCGAGUUUACAACUCCCAAACCCAAUGUGAACGUUACCAAACUGUUGCCUCGGCGGGAUCUCUGCCCCGGGUGCGUCGCAGCCCCGGACCAAGGCGCCCGCCGGAGGACCAACCAAAACUCUUUUUGUAUACCCCCUCGCGGGUUUUUUUAUAAUCUGAGCCUUCUCGGCGCCUCUCGUAGGCGUUUCGAAAAUGAAUCAAAACUUUCAACAACGGAUCUCUUGGUUCUGGCAUCGAUGAAGAACGCAGCGAAAUGCGAUAAGUAAUGUGAAUUGCAGAAUUCAGUGAAUCAUCGAAUCUUUGAACGCACAUUGCGCCCGCCAGUAUUCUGGCGGGCAUGCCUGUCCGAGCGUCAUUUCAACCCUCGAACCCCUCCGGGGGGUCGGCGUUGGGGAUCGGCCCUCCCUUAGCGGGUGGCCGUCUCCGAAAUACAGUGGCGGUCUCGCCGCAGCCUCUCCUGCGCAGUAGUUUGCACACUCGCAUCGGGAGCGCGGCGCGUCCACAGCCGUUAAACACCCAACUUCUGAAAUGUUGACCUCGGAUCAGGUAGGAAUACCCGCUGAACUUAAGCAUAUCAAUAA
rnacentral:misc_RNA from 1 species